AUGUAUCAAGGAUUUAGUUACAGGAAUUACACUGGUUAUGAUGGUCCCUCUAUGAUGGAUGGGAUUCAAACUGCUGAUUCUGGUUUUGAUGAUGGGCUGCGAGUUUGGAAUGAGCAUGUUGCAAUGGUUGAAGAUAUGGCAGACAGAUUUGUUCAGGGUAGCCCUACAGGAGAUCUUUCUUUUCAGCAGAUGAAUGCUCAUGAGGUGGUUGUGGAAGUUCCCGAAGAAGAGGAGAAUUGGCUUUCUUUCAUGAUCUGCUUUUAUUGCACUGUAUUCACCCCUCGACUCUGCCGGGUUUCUGACAAAGAAAACGAGACUAGUGCUUGGUAA
rnacentral:rRNA from 1 species